rnacentral:rRNA from 1 species
UUACAGUACGUGAAAUUGUUAAAAGGGAAACAUUUGAAGUUAGACUUGUUAUUGUUGGUUCAACCUUUUUUUGAAGGUGUAUUCCAAUGGUUAACAGACCAGCAUCAAUUUUUGGGUGUUAGAUAAGGGUCUUGUGAGAAUGUAGCAACUUUGGUUGUGUUUUAUAGCUCAUGGCUUUGAUAUAAUGCUUAGGAUUGAGGAAUGCAGUGAGCUUUUUUUUAGUGGGAUGCCUUUGGGGAUCUCCUCACUACGGAUGUUGGUGUAAUAGCUUUAAAUGACCCC